rnacentral:hammerhead_ribozyme from 1 species
UCACUACUGAGGAGUCCCAUACUAGGACGAAACGGUCGUUCAGUAU